rnacentral:rRNA from 1 species
GACAGAGGAUGCAAGCGUUAUCCGGAAUCACUGGGCUUAAAGGGUGCGUAGGCGGCCAUGUAAGUGAGGUGUGAAAUCCCUCGGCUCAACCGAGGAACUGCGCUUCAUACUGCAUGGCUUGAGGGAGACAGGGGUAAGCGGAACUGAUGGUGGAGCGGUGAAAUGCGUUGAUAUCAUCAGGAACACCGGUGGCGAAAGCGGCUUACUGGGUCUCUUCUGACGCUGAGGUACGAAAGCUAGGGUAGCGAACGGG